CAAAAAAUUGCAAAGAAGACGAAGUAGCUCCAGGGCGGCAACAGUCCGAAUUUGAAAGCAAUGGCGCGGAUUUGCACUUCAUGUUUGCAGAGCCUUCCAAAGAGCAAUAUUGACGAUAUUAACCGAAUUUGCAAAUAGACGUGCACGGCACCAACCAGCUGGGAGAAAGGAUUCAAAAAUAUGCAGCGUGGUGCAUAAAUAACUACGAAGUGUGUUGCAGUGGUUGGGAAACCAGACGGGGACCCGAGAGACUUCAGACUGGAAUCCUGGCUGCAUCACUUCUGAACCAAGGAGAGGAGAAAGCCUGUAAUCAACCAGGAGAGCGUGAAGAGAGGAAGCACGUGACCGCGCGUUCGGUGGAGAACGGAGGCCCGGACCCGCCGACGAUCCCGUCGCCUGGGGAGACGGAACUUGGACAGCCGCCAGGUGGUGCAUGAACACGGCUGGUGCAUUAACGCGUGUGGCGCGUGCCCAGAGCCAGUAAAGCAGCCCUAAACGGCCACUGAAUGGCAGGAGAACCAGAGCUCACGCCGCGGAUGGUGGGGAGGAUCCGCUGGCUCACGGCCCAGAGCCUGCAGCCGAUCCCACAAGGAGGCAGGAGCCUGUUAACCCCCGUUGCUUUACCCCCUGUGGCCGCCGCCUUACCAUUAACCGCUGGCUUCCGCACCCCGCUGGACAACGGGUGGCUAACGCACGCGAGGGCCAGAUCUUCAGUGCUGCCACGAACCUUCAUGCUGUCACGCUGCAUGGCAGAGUUUACACAUUCCGGGGAAUGGGCACAUCAGACAGGGGCACCGGCCACAUUAACCCCUGGAACCGGCGGUCAGCUGCAGCAGGCCCGGGAGCCUCGUGGGUAAUGAGCGUAGACGCCGCGCCGACGUGCCGAGCCAGGAAAACGGCUGCCCCUGGCACGCAUACGCUAUGAUCAAUCUGCCUUACAUUAGCCGAGCCGGGCCCGGCCGGAGCGGAUAAGUGCUCAGUGUCAAACGGGAUGCUGACCUCCAAUCGAUCAGUGUUUUUCUUUAACCUUUUAUCUCUCAAAUUAAGUGUUAUUUCUUCCUCGGCGGAAGAAACGCUUCAAGUUGAGCAUCGGUGAAAUCAAAAACGUAUUGCUUUGAAUUGUGAGUCAAAGAAAAGGUCAUGUUAAUCUAUUCCAGUUCCUGGAACUCUUAAUUAUAACUGCUAAUUAUGACAAAUUUUUCUAUGUGAUAUUGAGUUCUUUUGUUCUUAAAUUUAGUGUGGGGGGGGGGGGGGUUGUCUAAUUAUCGGAUUGUGUGGAUUCAAAAUCUGUUCGAAUGUUAUGUUAAAUGGAUUACCGCUACUUUGGUGCCAUCUCUAGAAGGCUUUUGAGAAUCUAAAUAACACUGACCAUUAAAAACAAUAAUUCAAAUAAGAUUUCCUGUAUGGUAAUGACCGCCAUUAUGUACAAUCUCCUGAAGUGGCGGCUGCGAUAUCUAUUUGCAAUAUCGCGGGGCCGCGGUUGUCUGAAGCUGGAAGGAAUAAUUGUGUCUCGGAGUCCUCCCACACUCGGGCAUGCGUAAUUCUGCCGUGGGUGUAGAUCUUUAUGGUGGAGAUAUGAGUGAAUGGGGCCAGAGAUACGGGUGAAUUGCUCGUGUUCCUCUCCCCUCCCCUCCUCCAAGGGCUCCUGUUCAAGGUCGGGCGCUCUAUUAGAGAAUAACGGCAGGAAUGCGCAGAAGAAGGGAAAGAAAGUAGCCCUUCAAACUCCGCACUUAAUUUCAAAACCGGUCCCUUCGGAGUCUGAUGAAAUUCUGUAUAUUUCGGCUGCAAAGUUAUGAGGAGACCGGAGGAUUCGCGCGCACAUGUCCAUGUCCACACACGCACAUCCCUCUCCUCGUGCCUCAGUAAACAGCCAGCCAGUGUGAGAUUAAACAUUCCUUUUCUCCCUCUUUUGUUUCUUUGAUGGGUUUGAUUAGGUGGUGAUGAAGGACCCAUUGUGAAUGCUGAAUAUGGCGUAUGAAUAUUGCAUUGAAACAUCACAGGGCCCCGUGUCCUCUGAGUAGAGCAGCGGUCGGGGAGACGGAACGAAGGAGGCGCUUAGCGCAACCAAACGCCGCUAACGCUGAGCCCUCUCUUCUCGCUCGUGCCCAUUGGCUCCGAACACGCCGCUGUGACUGCGCUGACAGAGCCUUCACGGGGGGCUCACCUGCUGGAUCCCAAAUCCCAUACUUCUACUCCUGGGGAGAGGGGGGUCAUGCCCCACCCCCCCUCCCCUCCUCGACAGCUCAUGCUGCCUUCCUCUGGCCUCCACCCCGAGCCUCCACCCAUCCGUCCUGCUUUGACUGACAGCUUCGGCCGAUCCCUUAACCUACUUUAAUCAAGCUGUCGCUUCGCAUCACCCCUAAAAAU